rnacentral:rRNA from 1 species
GACGAACGCUGGCGGCGUGCCUAAUACAUGCAAGUUGAGCGCUGAAGGUUGGUACUUGUACCGACUGGAUGAGCAGCGAACGGGUGAGUAACGCGUGGUGAAUCUGCCUUUGAGCGGGGGACAACAUUUGGCAACGAAUGCUAUUAUCGCAUAUACACUUUACACACAAGUUUUACGUUUGAAAGAUGCUAUAGCAUCACACAAAGAUGAUCUCGGGUUGGAUUAGCUAGUUGGUGAGGUAAAGGCCCACCAAGGCGAUGAUACAUGGCCGACCUGAGAGGGUGAUCGGGCACAUUGGGACUGAGACACGGCCCAAACUCCUACGGGAGGCAGCAGUAGGGAAUCUUCGGCAAUGGACGGAAGUCUGACCGAGCAACGCCGCGUGAGUGAAGAAGGUUUUCGGAUCGCAAAACUCUGUUGGUAGAGAAGAACGUUGGUGAGAGUGGAAAGCUCAUCAAGUGACGGUAACUAACCAGAUAGGGACGGCUAACUAUGUGCCAGCCGCCGCCGUAA